rnacentral:ribozyme from 14 species
UUUUUUUUUUUUUUUCUUUCUAUCAAUAAUAUUAUUAUAUCCUUCGUUCACUUUCUUCAUUUUUUCUAUAUAUAUAUGUGAGUGUUUUUUUUUUGGGGGGGAAAAUCUCAAAAUAUAUCAUCCCCAUUCUCAUUUUGAUUCAAUAAUUCGUUUGCAAAUAUUGUUUCGCCGUUUCGUACGUAGUCCACGAAAUAGCAACGGCAGGUGU